rnacentral:rRNA from 1 species
AUUGAACGCUGGCGGCAUGCUUUACACAUGCAAGUCGAACGGUAACAGGCCUUCGGGCGCUGACGAGUGGCGAACGGGUGAGUAAUGCAUCGGAACGUGCCCAGUCGUGGGGGAUAACGCAGCGAAAGCUGUGCUAAUACCGCAUACGAUCUGCGGAUGAAAGCGGGGGACCUGCGGGCCUCGCGCGCUUGGAGCGGCCGAUGUCAGAUUAGGUAGUUGGUGGGGUAAAGGCUCACCAAGCCAACGAUCUGUAGCUGGUCUGAGAGGACGACCAGCCACACUGGGACUGAGACACGGCCCAGACUCCUACGGGAGGCAGCAGUGGGGAAUUUUGGACAAUGGGCGCAAGCCUGAUCCAGCAAUGCCGCGUGUGUGAAGAAGGCCUGCGGGUUGUAAAGCACUUUCAGUAGGGAGGAAGGGUUUAGUGUUAAUACCACUAAACAUUGACGCUACCUACAGAAGAAGCACCGGCUAACUCUGUGCCAGCCGCCGCGGUAACAC